rnacentral:rRNA from 1 species
GACGAACGCUGGCGGCGCACCUAAGACAUGCAAGUCGAACGGUCUCUUCUUUCGAGGAGGGAUAGUGGCGGACGGGUGAGUAACACGUAAGGGACCUGCCCUAGAGUGGGGGAUAGCCUGGGGAAACCGAGGGUAAGCCCGCAUACGCUCCCUGGCAUAGCGGCCGGGGAGGAAAUCUUCUUGCAAGAGAGGAGCUCCAGGAGGGCCUUGUGGCGGAUUAGCUGGUUGGGGGGGUAGUGGCCCACCAAGGCGACGAUCCGUAGCUGGUCUGAGAGGA